rnacentral:tRNA from 1 species
GGGCCGGUACCUCAGCGCAUAGAGGAGUCGGCUACUAACCGACUUGCCGUGGGUUGGAAUCCCACCCGGCCCGCCA